CGGGGUGAGUAAUGUAUGGGGAUCUGCCUGAUGGCGGGGGGUAACUACUGGAAACGGUAGCUAAUACCGCAUAAUGUCUACGGACCAAAGCGGGGGACCUCCGGGCCUCGCGCCAUCAGAUGAACCCAUAUGGGAUUAGCUAGUAGGUGAGGUAACGGCUUACCUAGGCGACGAUCCCUAGCUGGUCUGAGAGGAUGAUCAGCCACACUGGGACUGAGACACGGCCCAG
rnacentral:rRNA from 1 species